AGAAAUCUGCAAUUAUCUCUUGGUCCUGCAGCAAUAGUUUCUCCUGCGGGCGCCUACGAUCACAAUUCAAAAUCCGUCCGUCGAUGACCUUAACGUCAAACCUGCUGCAAUUCUCAAUAGGUAAGGCCAUAUGGAUAGUAACCUUACUAUUUAGAAAGUUAUUAGAACUGCCCGUGUCGAUGAGAAUAGUGAUCGGUUGUUGUUUGAGAAGGCCUCCAACUUUCAUCGUUUGCGGGUUUAAGUAGCCGGCUAGUGCAUGUACUGUAACUUCAGUCGGUUGUGGCUCUUCUUCUGCAUCUUCU
rnacentral:lncRNA from 1 species